rnacentral:rRNA from 1 species
AUUGAACGCUGGCGGCAUGCCUUACACAUGCAAGUCGAACGGCAGCACGGGAGCAAUCCUGGUGGCGAGUGGCGAACGGGUGAGUAAAGUAUCGGAACGUGCCCAGUCGUGGGGGAUAACGUAGCGAAAGUUACGCUAAUACCGCAUACGAUCCAUGGAUGAAAGCGGGGGAUCGCAAGACCUCGCGCGAUUGGAGCGGGCGAUAUCAGGUUAGUUAGUUGGUGGGGUAAAGGCUCACCAAGCCGACGAGCUGUAGCUGGUCUGAGAGGACGACCAGCCACACUGGGACUGAGACACGGCCCAGACUCCUACGGGAGGCAGCAGUGGGGAAUUUUGGACAAUGGGCGAAAGCCUGAUCCAGCCAUGCCGCGUGCAGGAUGAAGGCCUUCGGGUUGUAAACUGCUUUUGUACGGAACGAAAAGGUUUGGCCUAAUAAGCUGAGCUCAUGACGGUACCGUAAGAAUAAGCACCGGCUAACUACGUGCCAGCAGCCGCGGUAA